GGAAUGUGUAGUCCAUGGUACUGGCUUGAACUAAUGCGGUAACUUUGCGGUAUUUAUCAAGGAUGUAAAAGCGAAAUCAGGACAAAACAAUAGGUUUCAGGUGUUAGAGACUGAGAUGUCGCGGAGGCCAUUGAACUGCUAGUAUUUUUGGAUACACACUUUCCGAAUUCUGAUCAAGUGGACAACAUAUACUCACGCUGACUUAUCACCAUGCUGUGCCAUGUGGCUUCCUUUUCAUGCAUGCGGUGGACCCAGGCCCUCUGUACAUACGUAGCAGAAGUGCAGCUUGGUCUUCAAGUGGGACUCCUAACAACCGGAGCAGGGACUGUCUCUGACUCUGAUGCCUGCUUUUGGAUCCUUUUAUCCUAACUGGGCUGCCUUGUCUAGCCACAAUAGCAGAAGAUGUGCCUAGCCCUAUUGCAACUUGAUGU